UUAAAUUGAAGAGUUUGAUCAUGGCUCAGAUUGAACGCUGGCGGCAGGCCUAACACAUGCAAGUCGAACGGUAACAGGAAGCAGCUUGCUGCUUUGCUGACGAGUGGCGGACGGGUGAGUAAUGUCUGGGAAACUGCCUGAUGGAGGGGGAUAACUACUGGAAACGGUGGCUAAUACCGCAUAACGUCGCAAGACCAAAGAGGGGGACCUUCGGGCCUCUUGCCAUCAGAUGUGCCCAGAUGGGAUUAGCUUGUUGGUGAGGUAACGGCUCACCAAGGCGACGAUCCCUAGCUGGUCUGAGAGGAUGACCAGCCACACUGGAACUGAGACACGGUCCAGACUCCUACGGGAGGCAGCAGUGGGGAAUAUUGCACAAUGGGCGCAAGCCUGAUGCAGCCAUGCCGCGUGUAUGAAGAAGGCCUUCGGGUUGUAAAGUACUUUCAGCGGGGAGGAAGGUGUUGUGGUUAAUAACCGCAGCAAUUGACGUUACCCGCAGAAGAAGCACCGGCUAACUCCGUGCCAGCAGCCGCGGUAAUACGGAGGGUGCAAGCGUUAAUCGGAAUUACUGGGCGUAAAGCGCACGCAGGCGGUCUGUCAAGUCGGAUGUGAAAUCCCCGGGCUCAACCUGGGAACUGCAUUCGAAACUGGCAGGCUUGAGUCUUGUAGAGGGGGGUAGAAUUCCAGGUGUAGCGGUGAAAUGCGUAGAGAUCUGGAGGAAUACCGGUGGCGAAGGCGGCCCCC
rnacentral:rRNA from 1 species